rnacentral:misc_RNA from 1 species
GUGAAUCAUCGAAUCUUUGAACGCAAAUUGCACUCUCUGGUAUUCCGGAGAGUAUGCCUGCUUGAGGGUCAGUUUAAAUAAAAAUCGUUGUGGUUGCUGCCUUUCUUGGUGACGCACCGGAUUUGGGUCGUCUUGCCUUCGGUUAAGGGACCUAUAAUUUUGCAUGAUUUUUUUCGAUCGUAUUUAAAUGCUUUUACGUACGUUUGCGAUAUCGAAAACUCGGUUUUGUCAUCCUC